GAUUAGAGCUUGCUCUUAUGAAGUUAGCGGCGGACGGGUGAGUAACACGUGGGUAACCUGCCCAUAAGACUGGGAUAACUCCGGGAAACCGGGGCUAAUACCGGAUAACAUUUUGAACUGCAUGGUUCGAAAUUGAAAGGCGGCUUCGGCUGUCACUUAUGGAUGGACCCGCGUCGCAUUAGCUAGUUGGUGAGGUAACGGCUCACCAAGGCAACGAUGCGUAGCCGACCUGAGAGGGUGAUCGGCCACACUGGGACUGAGACACGGCCCAGACUCCUACGGGAGGCAGCAGUAGGGAAUCUUCCGCAAUGGACGAAAGUCUGACGGAGCAACGCCGCGUGAGUGAUGAAGGCUUUCGGGUCGUAAAACUCUGUUGUUAGGGAAGAACAAGUGCUAGUUGAAUAAGCUGGCACCUUGACGGUACCUAACCAGAAAGCCACGGCUAACUACGUGCCAGCAGCCGCGGUAAUACGUAGGUGGCAAGCGUUAUCCGGAAUUAUUGGGCGUAAAGCGCGCGCAGGUGGUUUCUUAAGUCUGAUGUGAAAGCCCACGGCUCACCGUGGACGGGUCCAUUGGAAACUUGGGGAGCACUUGAGUGCAGAAGAGGAANGUGGAAUUCCCUUGUUGUCGGCGGUGAAAUGCGUAGAGAUUUGGCAGGAACACCAGGUGGCGAA
rnacentral:rRNA from 1 species